GCAGAUCACUCUUUGCAUAUGCAUUUGAUUUGCAUCUGAUGUAUGAAAAUGCAUUUUUAUGUUUUUUCAUCAACUUAGCAUUGAAAUACUCGAAUGUCAAUCCAAACGUUUUCAAAACAUAAAAACUCCAUUGUGAUGGACAGUAUCAUAGGAUCUAUAUUUGGCAAUUUAUUUUUUUUACAGUUUAAACAGAAAGUUUGGAUCGUAAUCAAGUAGUUUUGGCUUCGGAUGGAAACGACCGUUCAACUGGUUAACCCACAACAGACGUUCAGGGAGGGUCUGGCUGCGACCUGCUGGCUGGGGCAACUUCCUCAGAGAACGUAAAAACUCUACAGUUAAACUGGGGAACCAUAUAUUGAAUGAGAAGCAAUACUGAACAAGAAAAUAAAAAAAUAGUAAAAUAGAAUCUUUCAAUAUAAAGUGAA